GGAUCCAUGCUGGUCGCAAAACCACUAUGUUGGUUUUGUCAUGACACGGCUCAUUUGUCUCAUAAGCCCCGAGUGUUAAUGCUAUUGUUAAAACUUAUAGCUGAUUUUCUAUCUGUACCCUGCUCUACCUACGCACAUGUUUGUUUUUGGUUAUAUUUUGCUAGACAGGGAAAUGGUCAGACUUGUUUAUUAACAAAUUUUACAAUAGUAGGCAUAUUAAGAUUCUUUAUAAGGGAAGCAGUUUUUAUGGAAGCUUAGGUGCAAAGAAAUGAACAUAAUAAGGCAUGAGCAUUAUAAGUGGGCAUGCUCUAUUAUAUGAGUCAAAUAAGGGCAUUUGUACCUUCAAAUUGUUGAAAUGAUAUAUUGAUAAAAUUGUAACGAUAUUUCAGAAGGAUUUUGUGUGUGUGUGUGCCAAAUUAUAUAAUUCAAUCAGAAUCAUUAUGAUUUUUCAAGGAAAUAAAUGCAUGUAUACAUAUAGACCACUCUAGUAUACAUUAUUCAUGAUAUAUUUUGAUGUAGAUUAUUAUAAACAGAUGUUGCAAGUUAAGAAAAGAUAAACUUAUUUCCACUUUAAAUAGGAAAAGAGAAAUCAAUAGUUGCUUUAUUAUAUGCACAAUAUUGUAGUUUGGUUAACCAAAUUUCUGAUUAAAUCUUGUUUUAUAAAUUGUGGCCAUGCCAAGUGAAAGGAUUUUGUAACCAAUUCUCUUCUUAUAUAUUACACAAUAACAUAUAAAUCUAGCUAUUUUCUGGUAUUUUCAUCUUAUUGUAUAUUUUAUUUUAUGUUCAGAAAAUUUUACGUUUCCAAAGUCUGAUUCUUUGUAAAGUAACAUUAUCACUUAAACAUGUAGUCACUUUAAUAUGUAGUCAUUAUAUUUAAAAAAAAAAAGAAGCUAAAAUUUGCAUUUACUUACUUCACUGUUAGAAUUGGUAUGGUUCAAAUAGAAAUUAAAGUACAAUAUAAUGGGUACUUGGAAAAAGGGGAACAUAACAUAGUAAAUUUGAAAUAACAAAGGUAGAUAUUAAACUUAGAGUGUAUUAUUAUAAAGUUGCAGUGUGUGUUGUAGAUGACUUUGUUUUAGCUAUAGUUGUAAAUGAAUUAUGAAUAUUUGUAUGUUGGCUGAUGAAAAGAUGGGUAAAGUUGAUGCUAAGAUAAAAGUGAGGAAAUGAUAAGAUAAAAUUGAGGUAAUGAUAAGAUAUGGUUACAGGAAUUGCAAAAUGUGCAGAAAACAAUGAAUAUCCUUUAAUUUCAUGUGUAACACAAGUAAAAAGUAUAAAGAUUCUUUUGAGAAUUCUUUUAAUUAGCUUGUUAAUUUUAGAUAAAUAUAGCGACAUACUUCAUUGAAAUAAGUGUAAAAAAAUUGCUUGGUUAAAGUUUAAGAAGUGUUUAAUUGAAAUGAAAAUAUUGGUAAAAAUGAAAGAGGCAGUUUAUUUUAAGCUACGUUGGAUACUCACAAAAAAUGAUCUAUUAAUAUAUAGAGGUUGUAGUAAGUGUAUUUUACCAUUGUCCUUUGUCUAAACAAUGGUAAAUGGAAUAGAAAAGCGAUUAAUAUUUGCAUGGAUGGAAUUUUUAUGUGUGUAAUUUUUAUCAUUGUAAUAUAUAUUAUAUACAAUUCAUUUUCUUUUCUUGAAAUAUAUGUUAGCAGACACAUUGAUUUGUUGAAAGUGUAAUUAGAGUGAAAUAAAUGUUCUGUAAAAUACAA